GACGUAGGGCGCGAGCGUUGUCCGGAAUUACUGGGCGUAAAGGGCUCGUAGGCGGCCAACUAAGUCCGACGUGAAAUCCCCAGGCUUAACCUGGGAACUGCGUCGGAUACUGGAUGGCUUGAAUUCGGGAGAGGGAUGCAGAAUUCCAGGUGUAGCGGUGAAAUGCGUAGAUAUCUGGAGGAAUACCGGUGGCGAAGGCGGCAUCCUGGACCGACAUUGACGCUGAUGAGCGAAAGCUAGGGGAGCAAACGGG
rnacentral:rRNA from 1 species